UUUCCGUAGGUGAACCUGCGGAAGGAUCAUUAGAGAUUGGCCUCACGGCCGUUUUCAUCCACACACACACACCGUGAACAAACCAAGGUCUGGCAGUACGUGAGCUCGGGCUCGCAUGUCAGGCCCCAACACAAACAAAAUGUAAAGAAUGUAAACUAUCGUAACAAAAACAAAACUUUCAACAACGGAUCUCUUGGCUCUCGCAUCGAUGAAGAACGCAGC
rnacentral:misc_RNA from 1 species